UAGGGAAUAUUGCGCAAUGGGGGAAACCCUGACGCAGCAACGCCGCGUGAGUGAGGAAGGUCUUCGGAUUGUAAAACUCUUUUAUCAGGGAAAAAUGGUCAUGGAGCUAAUACCCCAUGAUUUGAUGGUACCUGAGGAAUAAGCACCGGCUAACUUCGUGCCAGCAGCCGCGGUAAUACGAAGGGUGCAAGCGUUAUUCGGAAUCAUUGGGCGUAAAGCGCGCGCAGGCGGAUUGAUAAGUCAGGUGUGAAAUCUCGAGGCUCAACCUCGAAACUGCGCCUGAAACUAUUAGUCUAGAAUGUCGGAGGGGGCAGGGGAAUUUCACGUGUAGGGGUAAAAUCCGUAGAGAUGUGAAGGAACACCGGAGGCGAAGGCGCCUGCCUGGACGACUAUUGACGCUGAGGCGCGAAAGCGUGGGGAGCAAACAG
rnacentral:rRNA from 1 species